AAGUGGCCCACAAGGAGAGGUGGCAGAGUGAGUGGGAAGAGGGCUGACCUGGAGAGGAUGAUCAAAGCAUGUCUCUUUCACAAACAGAGAUCCAAGGAAUACAAAAGAAUCAGACAUAGUCAUGCAUGAGGUUGGAGUGAGCUGGGGACAGAAUGCAAACCCCCAGAAGAGGAUCCAGCUUGCUGCACUGGGCCUCUGGGAGCAUGGCGGGGUCGUGCAGAGAGGGGAGAGUGGAAUGAGAUGCAGCGGAGAACCAGCUUCCACGCCAUGCCGAGCCACGGCAAGGGAGCAUAGGGUAUAGGCUGAGGGCAAUGUGCCGUUGCUGGGAGCUCUUAAGCAAAGACUUCAGAGUCUAAUUCAUAAUUUAAAAUCAGAUAGAGACGCACAUGUAUAAUUCAUGCUUAUACUAAAAUAGAUAUAUAUUUGUUCCUAUAGGCGCAUUAUUAUUGAGGAGAUAGUCCCUUGUUGUUCAAGAAAGAUGGGAUUUUUCUGUGCAAACUCUCUGACAUGUCUUUCAGUGUUAGCAUCUGCUCUUCUUCCCAAAGAGGCUGUUACCACCUGCCUGGAGAGAGGAAGGUCUGACUGAGGAAUUCCAGGUCCCACUGCGUGCAGAAGGUGCGUGGCUGGAAGACCCACAGGAGGUGGAAACCAUGGCAGAAGGAGCGGAGCAUGUUGGAAUCGCAGGGCAGGAAGAACUGAGAUCCAGAGGGGAGAAAUGAUUCGAAAGAGGACUUGGAGAGCCUCCUGGGUGGCAAGGAGGGAGAGGGGCCCCACCUGCCCCUCUGAGCCUGGUCUCUGCACCUACCCAGGCACAGGGGCACUUACUGAGAAGAGCAGGAAGUCAUGACCAAAUGCAGAAGGUGGUCCAGCCGUAUCUCGCAGGACCUUUGAGCCAUCUUUCAAAUGUUGCUCACUCAGCGCUCCCGGAACUCCGCCCUGGGUGCCGGAGAGCCAUGCUUUGCUCUCCCCGCCCCCUCGCACCCAGGCCUCUGGAUUUCCUGGGCAGCUCCCACCUCCAUCUGCUUCCAGCCCCACUGACUCAAGACCCCUGCCAUGCAGCAUCUUGUUCUUUCUCGUGGUUUCCUCUUCCAAGUGGUGGGCUGUGUCUCCAGAUUACUUCCCCUUGUGGUUUCCAUCCACCCCUGUCCCUGCACAACCUGAGGUUCCACAGCCCAUGUCCCAGCCCCACCAAACUCAAAUCCAUCAGUAUCUUCUCUGCUAGACCUUCUCUCAGCUCCCAUGUUUAUUGGAGGGUGAAGGAACCUCAGGGGUGUAGAACCUCAGGAGGGUGUCGAAACCUGAGUUGGUAGUGUCCCUCGGUUGAGGACAGCACAGCAUCCUCACCGUGAAUCUCGUCCAGCGCAUUCUCCCCCUCUCUCUGCUCUGGUUCCGUCUCUCCCUCUCUGCCUCUCUCCAUCUCUCUGUGUGUC